CCGGACCCGCCCAUACUGCUUAGCUAAUAUGACGUCGUUUUGGCAAUUAGGAAAGGGAAUACCCUCAGUUUCUCCUCAUUCUCAUCUCUCUCGUCUCUCACUCUCGUGUAUGAAACCCUCACACCGUCAACCGUCUCUCUCACCAACCACCCUGACUCAACCUCACCGCCACCAUCAGCUACCAUCUCUCACAAACCACCAUUUAUCCUAUUUUAUCAACACUAAAUCAAAGGUUGAUACAGUUGCAAGGUAAUAAUUCUUUAUCCGUUUAUGCUACUAAUGGCACCAACCACUGAAUCAAUACGAUUUUGUUGCAAGGUUAAUCUUUUAUUGACUUCAUGGGUGAUUUAGUUUCUUCAAGGUUUUUGCUUGUUGAAAAGUACUUGCUGUUUUGUGUGCUCAACCAAUGCAUUUCAAAUAGUUGGUAACUUAUGUGGUGGGACAUACUUGAUAUUGUGGUUAGUGUUAAUAAAAAUUCUCUCAUAAUAUUGUGGUACCAGCUUAUAUAAUAGCACAAGUUCUUGGAUCCACUCUUGCAAGUGAAACACCAGUACACCAGCUUAUAUAUCAGCUUAUUUUCAUCAGUGAAAAUGCUUACCUACAGCUUAUAUAUUAGCUUAUUUUCAUCAGUGAAAAUGCUUACCUGCAGGAGUUGUAUAUAGGGACUAUUAUUAUUUAAGUUGUAAUUUAAAUUUAUGUUGAUGCUGAAGCUAUGUUGUAGUCAUUUGGAUUUAUGUUGAAUUUUAAUUUAUGUUAAAUUAAGUUGUAGUAAUUUGUAGCUCAAAA